rnacentral:rRNA from 1 species
UGGGGAAUAUUGGACAAUGGGCGAAAGCCUGAUCCAGCCAUGCCGCGUUUGUGAAGAAGGUCUUCGGAUUGUAAAGCACUUUAAGUUGGGAGGAAUGGCAGUAAGCGAAUACCUUGCUGUUUUGACGUUACCGACAGAAUAAGCACCGGCUAACUCUGUGCCAGCAGCCGCGGUAAUACAGAGGGUGCAAGCGUUAAUCGGAAUUACUGGGCGUAAAGCGCGCGUAGGUGGUUCGUUAAGUUGAAUGUGAAAGCCCCGGGCUCAACCUGGGAACUGCAUCCAAAACAGGCGAGCUAGAGUAGGGCAGAGGGUGGUGGAAUUUCCUGUGUAGCGGUGAAAUGCGUAGAUAUAGGAAGGAACACCAGUGGCGAAGGCGACCACCUGGGCUCAUACUGACACUGAGGUGCGAAAGCGUGGGGAGCAAACAGG